rnacentral:rRNA from 1 species
GACGAACGCUGGCGGCGUGCCUAAUACAUGCAAGUAGAACGCUGAAGGAGGAGCUUGCUCUUCUGGAUGAGUUGCGAACGGGUGAGUAACGCGUAGGUAACCUGCCUGGUAGCGGGGGAUAACUAUUGGAAACGAUAGCUAAUACCGCAUAAGAGUAGAUGUUGCAUGACAUUUACUUAAAAGGUGCAAUUGCAUCACUACCAGAUGGACCUGCGUUGUAUUAGCUAGUUGGUGGGGUAACGGCUUACCAAGGCGACGAUACAUAGCCGACCUGAGAGGGUGAUCGGCCGCACUGGGACUGAGACACGGCCCAGACUCCUACGGGAGGCAGCAGUAGGGAAUCUUCGGCAAUGGACGGAAGUCUGACCGAGCAACGCCGCGUGAGUGAAGAAGGUUUUCGGAUCGUAAAGCUCUGUUGUAAGAGAAGAACGAGUGUGAGAGUGGAAAGUUCACACUGUGACGGUAUCUUACCAGAAAGGGACGGCUAACUACGUG